AAUUAUAUGCCUAUUAAUCAUAAUAAUGUGUCAUUUUUCUUUACAGAAAAUGCAUAACACUGGUGGAAAAAUUGGAACUGCUUAUUAGAUUGACACUGUGUCACCUUCUUUCAGAUGGUGCUUAUUUAAAAGACCAGCGAGAUUUGAAUCGAAAGUGGCCGUGGAUCAUUCGAACCUUCAAUUACCUGUUACAACAUCAAUUAUUUGGCACAACUUUUUGGAAUUUUGGAUCCCCAAUGCUCUUCAACUUCGUACUUGUUUGGCUUUUUAAUUAUUUUGUUAUGAGCGUCACUGAUGAGUCUUAACUUUGUACUUUUUUUCGCUUUCGAUCUUUUAUAUCUGG
rnacentral:lncRNA from 1 species